rnacentral:lncRNA from 1 species
AAAAUUUUAAAAUUCAAUAGUUUAAAUGUAUAAAUUUUAAAUUUAAGUUUGUUAUGAAAGUUAAUUUGGCUGGAUGGUUAUAAGUGGUAAGGUAGUCGAGCUCGGCAAAGGAAUGAGGGUAAUAGGAAGUGUAAGUGUGAAGGAAAAUAGAGAGAGAAAUUGAAAGAAGAAAAGUUGAGGGAGGUGAAGGAGUGGAAAGGGAUAUAUAUAUAUAUAUAUAUAUAUAUAUAUAUAUAUAUAUAUAUAUAUAUAUAUCACCAACAACUUGGUACUUUUAAAAGCAUAGGAGUUCAAUUAUAUAUAUAGAGAGCUAGGCUCCUAUGCUUUCGAAAGUACGGAGGCCUUCGUGCUUGCAAGUUGUUUUCGAUGAAGGGACAUCCGAUUCAGCGAUCGGUUCCGUUAGACAUGAUCUAUGCUGUUGAAAUUAUUUAGAAACAAAUUUUCAUAAUUUUUUGACUUCGUUUGCCUAGUAAACGAGUAGUCUCAAAAUGAACAACUGAAAAUAAAAAUUUCAUAAAAAACGGUGAUAAAUGGCUCAAAUUUCAAAUCGGAAGUAUUGUUCUUACUCUUGAUAUUAAGUAGAAUUUUCUAUUAAAUUUUNNNNNNNNNNNNNNNNNNNNNNNNNUAUAUAUAUAUAUAGUACAGCUAGAAUACUCCCAAAAGCAUCAAUGGGUUGGUGCUUUUGAGUUUUUAGCCCUUGAUUGGAGAGAUGUGAGGUUGAGAUUAUGGUGGUAGGUGGUGGUAGGUGGAAUAGUAUUUGAUCCAAAUGUUAUUAGUAAUAAAAGAGUAGAUUCAAGGGCUAGAAACUUAGAAGCACAAAUGAGUUGGUACUUCUAAAAGUAUUCUAGCUCUACUAUAUAUAUAUAUAUAUAUAUAUAGAGAGAGAGAGAGAGAGAGAGAGAGAGAGAGUAGGGCUACUGUGCUAUUAAGAGCACAGCAGCCCUUGUGCUCCUAACUUUCUAGCCACCUAUCAAGUUUGAUGGGUAGUUAGGAACUUAGAAUGAGAAGGAAAAGGGAUAUUGAAGAGAAAUUCAAGAAGAAGAGAAAUUGAGAUACCCAAUUUUUCUCCAAUAUCUCUUCCCCCUCUCAUUCUAACCACCCAUCAAACUUGAUGGGUGGUUAGAAAGUUAUGAGCAAAAGGACUGCUGUGCUCCUAAUAGCACAGUAGCCCUACUCCAUAUAUAUAUAUAUAUAUAUAUAUAGUAGAGCGGAUGUACGUCCCCUCCACUUUGCAUUGGGGGUGAUAGGAUGGACAAAAGAAGAGGGAGAGAGAAAGUGCAGAGUGGUAAGUGGGGUCAGUAGCAUCCGUCGAUGUAUGGUACAGUCAGAAUAUCACUAAUAUAAAAUUAUGAUUUAAACUCAUAAUUUAAAUUUUAAAAUUUAGAAAUAUUAAGCUGAAAAUGUAAAUUCAAAAUUUAUAAAUAUUUUAGGUGGAAUCAUUAUAAUUAGAAUUACUGGACCAGUCGAAUGUCCAAUGGUUUGAAAAUAUCCUACCCUCUAUGGAUGGAAGAAUUGUUCUGUGUUGGAAAAAAUUUCUGCAUAUACCACAUGCCAAAAAUACGGCGCAUUGCAAUCAUUGAUGAUACCAGUUACCAAGUAUUCCAGGACCAAAAGUAGGCAGCUUUAGAAUAUCCAUUAGGCAUAUAAUUGUGUUGGCUAAAGAAGAUGAAGCCAAAACAUUGAAAAGAUCGUUCAUAAUUAACAAUUAAUGACAAGCCCUCCUAUUAUAUAAUUUUCCUGUAAAAUUAACUUUAUAUUGUAGCUAAUCAAUUAUCAUUGGCACUUGAUAGGGGAAUUCUUGGAGCCUAUUUGACCCUAAUAUAGGGUGUAAUGACAUUUAGUAAAUGCUUCUUAAAUAGUAUUUUGUGGAAACACCAUAUUAAAAUUCUUCUAAGAGCUUUUUUCUACAACAAAAUAGAAAUACCAAAUUUGGAGUUUUGCUUUCAAAACUCAAGAAUCUUAUUUCAGUUUCCUACUGCAGCCACGGUUUCUUUUUUUUUCUUUUUUUGAUUUAACAAAUAUUCUAUUGGAGGUAAUCAUAAAAAAGAAUAGCAGUAGGGCCAACAUGUAUUAGACACUAAGGACUACUUUGGUAUUGAGGAUAACUUAGGACCCGUUUGGUUGUAUACAGUUGGAACUACACCGCAAUUUUAAAUGCAUACAAAUACAAAUUCGGUAUUUAGUUUGACAUAUUUAACUUCAACUGCUGCAGUAGAAAUUGCAACAGUUGGAGAGAAUAAUUUUAACACCAUC